UACAAUGAGGUAUUUCACAGUCACCUAAAACUCAAAACUUAUAAGAGGUAGUGCAUUAACUUUUCCUUCCUCCCCUUUUCUUUGCUCCCUCACUCCUCUCUCCCCCAUUUCUCCUCUUCCUUUCUCCUUUUCUAAACCUAAACCAAAGAACAAUGCCACCAUUCACUCAGCUGCAAGAUCCUGGGCAUCUUUCUUCUCCCUCAUUCACACAUCUAAUCAAUUACAGAAUCCUGAUUAUCCUACCUCCCAAAUCCCUCAAAUUCACCCAUUUCUCUGCAUUCCUUUUGCCACUGUCCUAGAAUGGGUCACCAACAUAUCCUAAGUAGAUUAUAUAAUAGCUUCCUCACUUACCUUCAUUGUCUCCCGCAUAGUCUGUCCUCCAACAUUUUCACUUUCAAUAGGCAGUCAGAGUGAUAUUUCAAAAAGAGUGAUGUGAUCUUGUCACACCCCUGUUUAUAACCUUUCUCUAGCUUUGCUGUGUUCUUGGAGUUAAUUCUUGUUCCCUGGCUUAUAUGACUUUUCACGAUGGGGAUCCUGCUUAUCUCAUGGACCUUACUCUCUCCUCAUGUUGUGCUAUCAACUUUCUCUUUCUUCCAGGUCUUCCAGAUGCUAUUCAUUUCAUCUGGAAUAUUUUUCCUAACCCAUUUCCCUUUGCCCUUCUCCCUUAUUCCUACUCAUCCUUUAGACCUAGCUUAGCUGUCGCUUCUCUGUCAGGACUUCCCACAUCUCCUUCUGCUGACUGCUUGUCUUCACCUCCAAAGGAUCCAAUGUCCCUGCUAAGAAUCUCAUUGCAUUUUAUCAUUCUGAAUUGUAAUUUCUGACUUGUGAAUCUCCCUUACCAGGCUGUACUAUAAUGUUUAUCCUGUGGAUAAAAUCAUGGUGCAUUCUUUUUGACAAUCUGUGGUAAUAUAAGAAGCAUUCUGCAAUUCUUAAUCACUUGGGAAAAUCUAUGGCCAAAAUAAUGUAAGUAGAAAGUAGACAUUCAGUAAAUAUUCAUAUAAUUAAUGUACUUUAUCUGUGAUUUCACAUUGUCAUAUGCCAUUAUCAUAACGAAUGCUACUAUAGAUUUUUUUCUCUAUUCCAUUGACAAGGAAAAUAUAAUUAUUUUGUUAAUAAGUGUUGGUACUGUGUUGGAUAGGUUAUGAAGACAAAUUAGAUGGUACAGUUUUCUCUCAAUUUUCUGUGUAUCUUAUUAUAUUUUCUCCUCACUGAGGAGAAUUCUGAGCACAGAGUUACGGAUAUUAGGUUGAAAAUGUAGGCUCUCAAGACCUCAGCCUCCGAACUAAAUGUAAAAUUGAUGGGCUUUGACUACGCUAAGUCAUUUUACUUGGCUUUCAUUUAUAAGUUCAUAAUUGUAAUUACCCAUUCUCUCCUGCUCCUCUGCUAUGAACAUUCAAGUGGUCAGUACUAAAAUUACACUAUGCCAUCACCAAAUGUCCAGCACCAAACCCUUAUUAGGCUAAUAACAGACUCAUUAGAGAUUAGAAGGGGUCACUAUGCCCUUUUGGCUUGGCUUUCAUACAUUGUACUCUACUUUGGUGGAAAAACAAAAUCAUUAAAAUAAAGUUAUGCACGAAUAGCCAUUAAACCUUGUUAUAAACAUUUGGCUCAUUUAACUGUGUAUGGAGUUGGUUAUAUUUGUUCAUCAAGUUAUCCUGAUAAAAGUGGUAAAGAAUUUGGGGAUGUUUUAAAAAUAACCUACAGUUAUGUGCCCAUGAUUUUAGUUUAAUUUAUAAUACUGUAGGAAGAAAAUAAGUAGCGAAGUAAAUAUGGCCAGGCUUGGUUGAGUUGUAUUUCUUUGUCAUCUCUAACCAUAAAUAUAACACAUUUAGAAGUAUUUUUGCACUUCUAUAACCCUGGAGCUAUAAGAAGGAAAAGACUUAUCAGUCAUACAGUAAAUGAAUUGGAACCAGACUUUGCAGGUGUUCAAUUUCCCAUAAAUAUAUUAUUCUAAUAAAAGACUCCUACCAAAAGAUUAAUGCUGCAUUUUAAUCUGAUGUUGGCUUUCUCGGUUGUUAUUUUUUGGUAAUUCCAGUCAACGAUCAGUUUAUUGGUGUUAUUUACACAUUUGUUCAUUCAUUCAGCAAAUUUUUAUUUAUUUAGUAUGUAUCAGGGACUGUGUGGUUGGGGUUCCAGAGAUGAAUAACAUACAAUCUAUGAUGUCAAGGGGCAGAGCUAUGGUACCGGCUCUGGGUGCUCUAUGCAUCCAUGUGUAUCUAUUGGGCUUCCUUCUCUGUGAGGAACCUUAGGUCAUGGUCCCGGGACUCCAUUCGAGGAGAACCUUUGCCAUGGUGUCUCUCUCUGGAGCCCUGUGGACCUGGUAGGGGCAUGUCCAAUGGCUGCUCUGAGUUGGAUGUUUUCCGUUUAAAAUGUUCAGAGGGAUGACUCUAAGUCUGGCUCCGGGUUAUCAUUUUUCCUCAAAUAAAUACUCUAAUUACAUUUAGGGUUUGAUUGCUCUUUUACUUAAUUUAGAAAGAAGCUUCACUGAUGCAUUACAUUUGUUUCUUUGCAAUGUCAAAGAAUACUAUCGUUAUGAUUGGUGCCAUUUGUGAUAAACAAAGAGGAAGAAGCUUACAACAGGACUGAAGAUUCAAAGCCUCUCUCUCAACUGACAUGGGUUUGUACUGGGACAUCACCUCUAGGCUGGUGCAACUCGCAUGCCAACACAAUAGAUACAUUUCUCUAGGCUUUUAAAUUUUUGUUACGUUUUGUGACUUCAAGGUUUCUUUCUUUUUUCCUCUAGGGAAUAGAAAUAUGUAUUUUUUCCCCCAUUUUAUAGGCAAACCACUUCAAUAGAACGUGGCUGGCAGCCAUAUGGUCAUAUAUGAAUCCAACAACCAAUUUAGCAAAGAAAACUGCUUGUAACAAGUUUUGGAUAUGCCAUCCCAGGUAUUACUUUGAUGAUAAACAAGGAGAUGAUCGCCAAGAAAAUGAUAGUAACAUAUAUAAAAAGGUACGUUCCCUUGAGUCAUUUAAUCAUGGUCCAAUUAUUAGUUACCAUCUAUUUGAAGUGAAGUCCAUGGCACUUGUAGGAGGUACUUAACACGUUUUAUGUAUAAUUUUAUAGCAAAAAUAUGGUGUUAAUUUUCAAGCAGCUUACAAUCUAGUAAACUUUUGAAUGAGUGCUUGUACUGCCCUUAUCUGGAACUUCUAGGUCUAGACUUUUGGCUGGCAUGGCUUCCAGAACUGGCUUUAUGACUCUAUUUCAGAACCAGUGUUUCAAGCCAAAACUAAUAAGUGGGGAAUGGCUCAAAGAUGGAAAAACAAAACAAAGCAAAACUUAAGUUAACUAAACACAUUAGAAUCUCAUAAAGAGUUAUUCGGAAUUUGGGGGAAAUGGCUCAUCUCAGUUUUUGUUUUAUGUUACAGGCUAUCACUUCCCUGGAUGGUUCCUUCUGCUCUGACAUUUGCAGAAUCAAAGCUUUAGCCAGACGGCCAUCGCUCUUCACAUGCAGGCGCACACGUGGUGUGUAGUUAGAAUUCUUUUCUUCUACAAUCAGGAGUGGAUAAAAGGGAAAACAAAAGUAUCAGGGUAUUUUAUGAAUUUUGUUUACACUUUACGGAUAGGUGACUGUUGAACCUGUCUGGGGAAAUUAAAUACUCCAUAACCAUUCAUAGAUGUGAUAAGUGCACAUUGAUAGCCCCGUGAACACAGUGAUGAAUAUUUCCUCUGAAGAAAUCUAGAGUAGUUUGUUUUUAUCUGAUUUUAUCAGCUAUUUUCAGUUAUGUUACUAUUUCAACAUUUAGAUAUUUAUUGAAUGUACCAUAAAAAUAAACUUGGCUGAAUUUCUGAACUGAACUUGUCAGGUGUCAAAAAUUAUAAUACAAUUCAAAUUAAUAGGAUAUUACAACUAUGAUGACAGUUGAGGAACUAUCCACAAAAUACCAACAAGUCUGACUUCUGGAAGGAGACAGAAACAUUUCUCUAAAAUAUUUUACAAGUAGAGAUAAAGAGGAAUUUCUUCUUUCUCUUUCAUUGAACAGCAAUGGAAUUAACAAUUAAGAUUGUUAGAAAAUCACUAAAAUGGGUGCGCCUGGGUGGCUCAGUUGGUUGAGCACCCGACUCUUGAUUUCGGCUCAGGGCAUGGCUCCAGGGUUUUGGGAUAGAGCCUGCUAGAGUCUCUCUCUCUCUCUCUCUCUCUCUCUCUCUCUCUCUUUCUCUCUCUCUCUCUUUCUUUCUCUCUCUCCCUCUGACCCUCUCCCCCACUCGUGCUCUCUCUCUAAAAAAAUUAAAAAAACACUAAAAUGUAGGCCAUGACAUUUUCCAUACAUGAAGCAUGACAACCAGUUGCAACUGGUAAAGUCAUACAAUCACGAAGUCAGAGAGCAAAGAACUGAAAUGUGCUCCAGUGCUGUUUCUUUUUGAGAAGCUUUCACAUGUACGCCAGUAACGUGCAGGGGUGCAAGUGCUGGGAAAGGGUUAAAUACUGAGACUACCAUUCCUUCAAAGCUGUUUCCCAUGAAUCUCUUGACUUUCAAACAGUUUAACACAAUGUGACCCUUACAAUAUGUAGAAGUCAUGACAUGAUCCAGGAAGUUUACCAAAGUGCUUGUACUGUUUUAUUUAGCCUGGCAUCUAGUAUUCUAGGGUGUUUACAAAACAAUAUGGAUUCCUUAGAGAAUACCCAAAGUGCACUACCUACCUCAAAGAAGAGAAGCUUAGAAAAAUUUUAGAAAAGGAUUAUAACAUGUAGUAAAUAUUAGCUGAAUUUCUCUGUAAAAAGCCUGUUUUAUGCUGGUUACUUCAUCUAACUUUGAAUUUGAAUUCAGACUUAGGGGCAAAUGGUCAGAUUUUAUAUUUCAAAGCAUAAUUACUUUUUCUGGCUACAGGAGAACGAGUGUUGUCAUGGGAAGAAUUUCUAGUAUGUUAGAAAAUUGCCCACCAUUGUAUACUCUUAGUUGAAUUUAAGAGAUGCUCAAAUUUAGGCUUUGUUCUUGACUUGUAUUUGGUUUAAAAUCUUAAAUUAUUUUAUGGUUAUUUUUCUUCAUGCAUAAAUAGGAAAAAAAUAAUCACAACCUGUCUUUUGGGGUUCCUAUAGAAAUUAAUAAAAUAAAAGAAAAAUCAAUCUUGGUUAAUAUUUAAGAUGCUGGUGAACAAGGGUCGAUAACAACAUUGUAUCUAAUUGCCGUCCAAAUUCUUCAGAAGGCAGUAGCUAGCUUUCAGUGAGUCUUCUGGACUUGCCACAUCUUAGUACGAAUUUAUAUCGAAAUGGGUUGGAAGUCUAAACUUUAAAGGACUGGAGAAACAUUAUCCUUCACAUGCCAUUAGAGUGAUCUGUCUAAAAAGCAAAAUUUAUCAUUUUCUUUCAGUGUUAAAAGUUCCUCAGUGAUAUCUCCAUCGUGUUGAAGACACACGUUGUAUACGCCAUAUUGCAUGAUGCGGUUUUGAUUAUCUUUUUCAUCUUUGGCUGCUGCCAUCACCCCCAAUUUGUACCCUGCACUUCACUUCUACACAUUUCGUAGAGCUCCCUGAAGGCACCAAGCUCUCCCAAGCUUUCCUGCCUUCAUAUAUGUCAUUCCCUCUGUCUGAUGUGUCAUAUCCUCACCACCUUCCAUCACCAACCUAGUGAACUUUUUGUUCAAUCUUAGAAAUUCAGCUUAUAUCACCUUCUUCAUGUAACUUUUGCUAACCUUCCAUUGCCUGAAAGAAUGCUACAUUUGUUUUAUGACUGACCCCCAAAUAGACUGUGGGUUCCUGAAGUGUAGGUUCCCUAUUCUAUACAUCUUUGUAUCCCCAGAGCCUAGCUCAGUGGAGCUGGUUGAACAAGUAAAUAAAUAGAUGAAACUCUGAUACAAAUUAUGCAGUAUCUCUCUGGAAGCAUCUGGAGUUAGGUACUAAAAAUACACUAAAGCACUCCACCUUUCUAAGAAUGGGAACUGAGAGAUGGGAGUCAAGAAUCAGGCACUUGAAGUUUAAAGUGAUGACUUUGUUCAUGACAAAGCCUGGGUUGGAGAACAUGGCUUAGGUAUGUGGCAGUGGUGGGUUUCCUACUAGAACCCAAGAAUUAGACAUAAUAUUUUCCUGAGUCAAGGCAGUUAUGGACAACCAGAGGCCUGGACAACUUCCCUAUUUAGGUACAGAGUUUUGACCACUAAAGUUAUGACAUGAUCAAGAGUAGACCAGAACACAUGCAUAUGGUCAGAUCCCAAAGAGAAAGAGGAAAGAGCUGAUCUAGGAUUGCCUACUUUUUGUUUCAAAUUUAUGAGUAAGUUAAGACAACAUUUCUCCCUUGGGAAAGAAUUAGUGUAGGCACAGAGAGACCAGAGGAGUCAUUUGAAUGGAUAUCCUUCUGCAUGUGAACAUGAAAUCAGGGCAAAGGGAGAUCCCCUCUUCUCCUUCUUCUGGUACUACUGACAGUUAUAUUUUUUUUCUGCUAAUGGCAUUACUCUUCUCCCAGUUAUCUAAGUGUAAUUAGAGAGACAUUGCUCUAGUUUAUAGCUCAUCUCCCACAAAAAGGAAUUGGCACUGAUCUGUCAGCCUAUGUCUAGUCGCAGCACUAAUUGUUGGUAUCUGAUCUUUUAAUUAUUUAAAUAUAAAAGUAAUAACUGAUUACUUUGAAAAUAACAAAUGCUUCCAAUAAAUAAAAACAAGCCUGCCUAGAAGUAUCCUAGUCUUCCAGCACUUUUUCCUGUCUGAAGAUAACUACUGUUCAUGUACAUAUCUCUAGACUUCUUUCUAUGCAUUUACACAUGUGUAGACAUAAAGAUUUUUGAAAACUGCAAAUACUUAAUAAUAACUGGUAGACAUAUUCCUAUUUCCUAU
rnacentral:lncRNA from 1 species